GAAAGAUUCAUCGGAAGAGGAUGGGCAUGCGGCGCAUUAGCUUGACGGCGGGGUAACGGCCCACCGUGGCGACGAUGCGUAGGGGUUCUGAGAGGAAGGUCCCCCACACUGGUACUGAGACACGGACCAGACUCCUACGGGAGGCAGCAGUGAGGAAUAUUGGUCAAUGGGAGAGACCCUGAACCAGCCAAGCCGCGUGAGGGAAGACGGCCCUAUGGGUUGUAAACCUCUUUUGUCGGAGAACAAAACCCGGGACGUGUCCCGGACUGCGUGUAUCCGAAGAAAAAGCAUCGGCUAACUCCGUGCCAGCAGCCGCGGUAAUACGGAGGAUGCGAGCGUUAUCCGGAUUUAUUGGGUUUAAAGGGUGCGUAGGCGGUCUGUUAAGUCAGCGGUAAAAUUGCGGGGCUCAACCCCGUCGAGCCGUUGAAACUGGCAGACUUGAGUUGGCGAGAAGUACGCGGAAUGCGCGGUGUAGCGGUGAAAUGCAUAGAUAUCGCGCAGAACUCCGAUUGCGAAGGCAGCGUACCGGCGCCAGACCGACGCUGAGGCACGAAAGCGUGGGGAUCGAACAGGAUUAGAUACCCUGGUAGUCCACGCAGUAAACGAUGAAUGCUGGUUGUCCGGGUCGAAUGAGACCUGGGCGGCGA
rnacentral:rRNA from 1 species